rnacentral:rRNA from 1 species
GCUUGUCUCAAAGAUUAAGCCAUGCAUGUCUAAGUAUAAACGACUUUAUACUGUGAAACUGCGAAUGGCUCAUUAUAUCAGUUAUAGUUUAUUUGAUGGUUCUUACUACUUGGAUAACCGUAGUAAUUCUAGAGCUAAUACAUGCAUAAAACCCCAACUUCUGGAAGGGGUGUAUUUAUUAGAUGGAAACCAAUGCGGGGUAACCCGGAAUUCGGUGAUUCAUAAUAACUUUCGGACCGAAUUUAUUCGGUACAUCAUUCAAGUUUCUGCCCUAUCAGCUUUGGAUGGUAGGGUAUUGGCCUACCAUGGCUUUAACGGGUAACGGAGAAUUAGGGUUCGAUUCCGGAGAGGGAGCCUGAGAAAUGGCUACCACAUCCAAGGAAGGCAGCAGG